CGGGUGAAGUUCGUCGGCAGCGGUGCCGCGCGUCGGCGCGACAUGCACUGCACAUCGGCUCUGGAGAACACCCUCGGGUGCCACCUGAUGUGAGCUGUCCUGCUUGGCGUCAGGCAGAAAUAUGGCGUGCUCG
rnacentral:ncRNA from 1 species